rnacentral:rRNA from 1 species
UAAUGCGCAGCGAUGCAAAUGAGACCGGCAAACGGGUGCGGAACACGUACAGAACCUUCCCCAGAGCGGGGGACAGCCCCUGGAAACGGGGAUUAAUACCCCAUGGCAUACGACCAUGGCAUCGUGGUCGUAUUAAAGGUUUACCACUCUGGGAUGGCUGUGCGGCCGAUUAGCUAGUUGGUGCGGGUAACGGCCCACCAAGGCUUCGAUCGGUAACUGGUGUGAGAGCACGACCAGUCACACGGGCACUGAGACACGGGCCCGACUCCUACGGGAGGCAGCAGUAAGGAAUAUUGGUCAAUGGGCGGAAGCCUGAACCAGCCAUGCCGCGUGGAGGAUGACUGCCCUCUGGGUUGUAAACUCCUUUUACGGGGGACGAAAAAAGGGGAUUCUUCCCCGUCUGACGGUACCCCGUGAAUAAGCACCGGCUAACUCCGUGCCAGCAGCCGCGGUAAUACGGAGGGUGCAAGCGUUAUCCGGAUUCACUGGGUUUAAAGGGAGCGUAGGCGGGCAUGUGAGUCAGUGGUGAAAUCUUGGGGCUCAACCCCGAAACUGCCAUUGAUACUAUGUGCCUUGGAUACUGUUGAGGUUUGCGGAAUAUGUCAUGUAGCGGUGAAAUGCUUAGAUAUGACAUAGAACACCGAUUGCGAAGGCAGCAGGCUAAACAGUC